rnacentral:misc_RNA from 1 species
AUAAGGGCUAAAGUUCCACAUUAUUCGCCAUCUGCCGCUCUGAGUAACAGCUGUUUUGGUUGGUUUUUUUAAAACAAAACAGAAAUUAACUAGUUUACUCUGAUAUAAAGAGGAUUAUUAAACAAAUUAAGGUUUGUGUUUGCUUGUUUUUUUCUAUUUUACUAAAAAUAUUACUCGUUAGAUUAUCGGCUACGGUAAUAGUUAAUCCCAGUCGAUGACUUUGAUUUUUUAAGGUAAUUUUAUGACGCACAUUACGUAUGAUCUGUUUUUAUCAUAAAUACUAUUCAAAAUUAUAUAAUAGAAUAAUGAAUACUUUAUAAAAUGUUAACACAUGAUCUUGAAGAUCUAUAAACAUGUUUAAAAUGAAAAAAGAAGAAAAAGGGGAAAAUUACUAAACGAAUGUCAAUAUUUAUAUUUAUUUUAUUCAAACGAAUAUUUAAUUGCGUGAAGUGAAAAUAUUAUUAUUCAAAAAUAGUUUUCCACCAUCUUUUUAUUUAGAUGACAACCCCUUCAGCUCCUAUACCUGACAAUCCACCACCUUAUAGCCCUCCCCAAUAUCCAUCACCGCCCUUACAAGGAAACGCGCCGGUAUAUUCACCAUACAACCAAGCUUACCCUCAUCAUAAUUACAACCUACACGGAAAUCUACAAAGACCACAGGAACCAACAACUGUAUACAUAGUCAGAGAUGAAGAGGCCGCUAGAAAAGCAGCUGAUGAGCAAGCAGCAGCCGAUUGUUUACUAUUUAGCUGGUGUUGGGCAGCCUUAUGUUGUUGCUUGGCAAUGGACGCUUGAAACAAAAGAAAAAAAUAUGAAUACGAAGAAUAAGAGAUAUAAAAAAGAUAUAUAAAUAUAUUUACUUUUCUUAAAUUUUACUUAUACGAAGACAUUGAACAUUUCUUAUUGUUUUCUUAGUCAUCCAAGUAUUACCUGCAAUCAGUUAAUAGUUAUGUAAGGUAUUGAUUGUUACAAGCAAUGGGAAUGAUAUCCAUUUAUGACAAAUGUCUAUUUUGUAAGCUAUGUUUUCUUUUUAAAAGAAAUAAUUAAUAAAUUAAUAUUUUUAAAUUAA